UACGAAGGGGGGCUAGCGUUGCUCGGAAUUACUGGGCGUAAAGCGCACGUAGGCGGUCUUUUAAGUCGGGGGGUGAAAUCCUGGAGCUCAACUCCAGAACUGCCUUUGAUACUGAAGAUCUUGAGUCCGGGAGAGGUGAGUGGAACUGCGAGUGUAGAGGUGAAAUUCGUAGAUAUUCGCAAGAACACCAGUGGCGAAGGCGGCUCACUGGCCCGGUACUGACGCUGAGGCACGAAAGCGUGGGGAGCAAACAGG
rnacentral:rRNA from 1 species